AAGGACUUAAGUUAAACAAACUUAUAGCCUUCAAAGCUAUACAUAAAGGGCCAACCUUUAGGCCUUG
rnacentral:tRNA from 3 species